GUGCUUGCUUCUGCAGUACACAUACUAAAAUUGGAACGAUACAGCAUGGCACCUGCAAAAGGAUGUCACGAAAAUUCCUGAAGCAUUUCAUAUUUUU
rnacentral:snRNA from 1 species